GGCACCGAGCUGGCACGGGCCCGUUCCCGCAGCGAGCCCACCGCCGCUGCAACACCAGCUCGAACUUUGCGUGGUGAUCCAGAUGAAUCCAGAUUCCAAAGACUCUGCUCCGGCCGAGUUACAAGGACAAAGCACCUGUUUCUCCAGCAGAUUUCUCCGUUCUUAUUUGAAGUUGCUGUCAGCUUUGGGUAGGGACUUCUACUUGAAUAAUACUGUAUGAGCUACAGGAAUGCCAUCCAAAGAUGGUGGAAUAUUUACUGUUACAAAGUAGAAAAUAAUAGAAUUACAAAGGAAAACAUAGACAGAAGGUUCAGUUCAGCUUGAGCUGAGGCAAGUGGGCAGACACUAAGUUCUCACUACCAAAGUACUACAGGUGGGUAACAGCACAGCUGUCACUAAACACAGGGAGGAUCGCUUCCAGGAAAAAAAAAGUUACACAUCAGCCAUGACUGAGUUUUGAGAUAGUUAUUUACUGAACUUGGCUGAACAGUCCAUCUGCCUUCAUGAAUCUGGAUGAACUGAAUGUCUGCAGCACGCCAUGUUGCCUCCUUGUGCUGUUGGCACAAGUAAGGGUAGGUCUGGGGCUCAAGAAGAAAGGGUGCAGUCCAUUUCAUUGCCAUAGUGGAUCCUUUGCUGGAAAGCUACCUGCAGGAAAGCCUAAUUCGGGAUCCUGACUAAGGCCGAAGUUUCUAUACUGCAGCUCUGCAACACCGCUUCUCCACAUUCCCUGCACUGUGUAUCCAGAUUCUAACCAUUAGAAAGCACAUUUGUGAAGGCCCUUUAUCCUUCCCUUAUUUCAAGCUUUGCCUCCCUGGUGCCACAAAGGUGAUUACAAGUAUUGAUAUGCAUCCCCCACUCUUUCAAAUGAAGACUAAUGGUUUGAAGCAAUGGCUGCCACCACUUCUUCCCGCAGAAUUAGAGCAGAACAUCACAGGCAGGUCAGUAUGUGUUCUAAACAAAGGAAGCUUUGAGACUAUACAUCACAGAAGCUCAGGAUGUAUUGAUUCUACCUGAAUCAUGUUAACACUCAGCUCUCCUCUGUCCAAAAUCUCUGUUCAAGCACAGUUAAACUCUAAAUUAGGCAAUUAAUGAUAAAAAAAUGAUGAUGGGCACUGUGGAAAAGGAAGAAAUAUGUGAAAAGGAAAAACCACACUUGUAAAGUUCCAACAUUGCCAUAUCAGAUGCUUCCUUUCUGCAACUUAUAUGGAUAUUUGGUCUUUUCUCCCACAAUAUUGUCACCACUGAUGUAGGCAGAGGUUGCCAAAGAACAAAAAUAGUAACAUAAGACAAGCUAGAAGAAGUGAUUUCUAGGAAAAGCUUCAGAGAUAGAUAGGCUGCCUUAGCAAACUAAAGGAAGAAGAGACUUCAAACCCAGUGCAUUAGGAGAAAGAUGUCUCUCAAUGGCCUUGCUACCACACUGUUGAACCCAUAGCUGCAGCUGUGCUGUGGCUCCUCAAAGACUUUAAAAGGUUCUUGGGAGACUUUAUGAUCAGCAAUAAAAAGCUAAAAAUACACCUCAUAGAACUGAAUCUCCACUAUAAUAGAAGACCAAAACCCAGAUUUUAUAGAUAGGUGGUGCACAAAGAUUCAGAUAGAUACCUGGCAUGUUUUCAAAAGAGCUUAGAUGCAUUAACUGCUGUAGUAUCCUGGAAACAGGUCUUGUUGAAAAUUCUUUGAUGAGAUGACAGGCUUAUCUGGUAAAAGUAAGUGUGGAUGUAAUAAAUACUUGCAAGGCUUAGCACUACAUGACACUCAGGGUAAAAUUCUACUUCUACUACUUGAUAUCAGUAAGGCAUGUGUUUAAUGGACACAGAACCUGCUAAAUGACAGACUCCAAGAUGUCAGAGAAAACUGUGACUUAACAGUCUGUGCUGGCAUUUUGAACAGAAGUGAUGCAGAGUCACAAUGGCAUCCUGAGCAGUGGUAGCUCUCUUGGUUUUUUGAUGGAGGCGACUAUCUUGUCCAGCAUCCACUCCCUAGUGAGAACUUAGGGUUUCCUCUUCCAAGGGCAGUGACGUGAUGACAGAAAACAUGUUUAAACUUGGUGCCUGUAGCCGGCAGAGAGAUGUAGGAAGGCAUCCCAACUCCCAGUGCUGCAGGCACAGAACCACCGCUCCUUGUAUCAUCACUGCAUGGAUGGUGCCUGACUUCAAAAGCUGGAUGACUUCAAAAAUAGUGAAGAAAAGCCAUGUUGGCAGUUCCAGGCUUCCUGUCAGGGGCUGUGGAUGGCGGGUGCUGCUGGAGACACUGGAAGGGGGCACCUGCCAUCUGGAGGUGGAGACUGAGGUGGUGCCACGGACAGCGCUACCGAUCCCUAUCAAGUGCAUUACUCGCUAUUCACUGUCUCUGUUAAGAAGAAAUAUCUGUCCAGUGAAGAAAAUAUAGCCGGUCACACACCAUUAAAAUGGACAGUGAAUUACUGAAAUAAAUAAAACUUGCAGGCACUUUUUAGGCAACAAGUACAGAAAAUGUCUAUCCUAAUCUCUUCAUAAAUACUUAGGGGAAGUCAACACAAACAUGAAUGGGAAUGCUCUGUAAUUUAUUUGAAAAUCAAGGAGAGCCAACACAUCUAUGGUGAAAUGCUGGUCUUAUUAAAAAUCUCCAGGAAUUUUGCCAAUUACAUUAGCACUUUAAGGGUUUCAACUCAGUAAUCUCAUUUUUAUUGAUAUGAUUUAAACGGCUGCAGAGAGUCAUGUUUCUCUUACACUAAGGCAGAUUCUCAGUGUCUUAUACAAAUGGCUGAUGCCAGCAUGCUUUCUGAGGGACUAUUCAUGGAGUCAAAUACCAUCUAACAAGUGCAAACGAAGGUGUAUGAACAGAAGUACUUAUGAUUUUCCUGUCAUCUCUGUCGUAUUUUUAAUUAAUAAUCUCUGCGUCAGAGGGUUGCUCAGAAUGAGCAAAUCCAAGGGAAUGUCUAGUUUUUAGCUUGGUUCCCAAGGAAAGAAGCUUGUACAAAAUUCUGCCAAAAUUGUUUCCAUUCCAAGUAGCUUUUGAGCCUACUGCAUAAAUUUAACCAAAUUUAGCAAUGUGGUAGGGGAAUCAAAGGCAAUAAGUGCCAGCAAGUUUCACGAAAACAGGUAGAGACAGAGCAAGAUGCUAAUAAUUCCUCCACUUACCCUGCACUCAUUUUCUGAGAUGUUGAAUAGUGCAUGCAAGUGACUACACUUGAAAUAUAAAUCAAACAAAUCCAGUCAUCAUUAAUAUUGACUCUCAUUGAAAUGGUUCAUAUUUAUUAGCUGAGAUUUUGUGAACUAGGAAAUAGAUAAAUUCUAAAUGUUUUAGACAAUAAUGUAUUUCCUCUCGAUCCAUAUUUUUGUGAAUACUAUGCUUAUUUAUGCAAAAGAAAAUCAGAAAGUCUCCUGUCUGGGCAUUGCGCUGGUGUGCUAUUAAAAUGUACUAUUCAAUAAAGGCACAUUCAGAGUUGCAAGGAAGCUAGCUGGUAACAGACCAAGAGUUCUCCUUGCUUUUACGGUAAAUAAAUUUUAUUAGAAUUUCAUUAUAACUUUCUUAUCUAACAGUACUUCAGUUGCUUGACAGAAAAGUUGCAAGCUUUUAACAUGUACUUGGGUAAAUUUAAAAUUCAGAUUUCUGUAGCACCUCUUUCAGAUGUUGCAGGUAUCAGGCCAGUUUGUAGUGAACAGCAGAUCUACAGGUGGAUCUACAGGUGGAUCCCCUGAAUAAUCACUUCCUUUCUUGCCAAACCCAUAUGUAUACAGUUAAAACCAAAGAUAUGAAAAGGAAAAGUGACACAGCAUUGAUUUGUGGAAAACAAAGCUGCAAUGAAUGAAGCUAGUGUUUAUGUGAUGGGAGAGCACAGCCCUGCAGAACAGUAGGCAUAAGACCAUUGAUUAAAUUUUCUCACCCAGCUGUGAGCAUAUGAAAACAGAAGAACAGCCCAUCAAGCUCAGCAUCCUGACUCCUAUCAGUGGCCGUAAGCAGAUGCCUUGUAAGAAGGUGAAAUCUUCUCAUUCUUCUUUGUUCUCUUUUUUUACCUACUAAGUGCUACCUUUUCUUUUGCUUUCCUGAUGUAGCAUACUAAGCUAUCUGUCAUAAUUUUAAGAUUUUGCUCCAGAAUAUAAACCACUAGCUCAAAGGCCAUAAUUCUGUGAGUUGGCUGCCCUUUGUUUUUUUUUCACACUAUCACUUUAUCUGCACUGAAAGCAUUUCUCCAGGUUGUACCUUUCCAAUACAUGUGACUCAGGUUUUUUUUAGUACUCAGUACUAUCCUAGCGGGCAUGCAGACAGAUUCCCAUACAUCUUUUAUCAGAAAAUUAUGCCUAUGCAUGUAGAGGUACCUUGAUGUUACUGCAUCACAAUUUCUAACUGCCACAACCUCUAAUCAUAAAUGCAUAGGUGAACCACCACCCCCUCUCACCAGGCUUAUGCUCCUGCCUGCUGCUCCCAGCAGCACUAUUCCCUCUAAUCUUGAUGCUGUUGCCUCCAGGUAGCUAGUCACCCCUACACUCAUACCCCUCACUGUGCUCUUCCCACUCACCACAGUACCACUUAUAUGCUAUUAUAACACAUUGAUUUCAGCACUGAAUAGGUUCAUUAAAGAGAGCCUUUACUAAAAUCCAUUCACUUAAGUUACUGUCCUUUGAGACUUCAACAAAGAUCCAGCACCAUUUUAUCUCUUGUCAUUGCAGUAGACCCAGUUGUGAUCCUCUCCCAGCUUUCAUGAUUUCUGUUCUCUGAGCGAUGACUAAAGGGGAAUUAUCUAAGCGGCUAAUUGGGUUUUAUUAGUGAUUCAGCAUGUAGGUUCACUGAAGAGCCUCCAUCUCUCAUAAAUAUUAUCAGCUAUCAUUAUACUAUGGAUCUCAUUAACAAAGAGGCCCCUUCAACACUAAGUUACUUCUUCCUAGAAAACAAAAAGCCCCUUCUUAGCCUGAUAAAUGUCUGCAUUUCCAGAAGACUAAAAUAAGGACUUUGAUUACAGUAAAACUAAAAAUUCACUCAGGACCAACUAAAGACAAUAUUGUUGCUUUUUACUUAUAGAGAAAGGAUAUGGCAUUUCAUCCUAAAGCAGGCAUCAAUACAACCAAAUGGCUUCACGAGCAUAUUUUGCUUUAGCUUCUAAAUGAGAUAUGUUUAUUUCAGUUUAUCAAGAAAUACUCUUUUUUCUCAGAUCCUCCUUCUGACAUCUCUGUUUGUAAGACUCUUACUAAAAAUAUGUUCCAAUGGCUGAACUUUGGAAGUAUUUAGAAUCUACACAAUGAACAAGUGUAGAUAGAGAUUACCCAUGCUCUCUAUUGUAACUGUUAUGCAAAACUGUUUCUUGUGAGCACAAACCCCAAGACCUGGCUAGUUGUCCUAAUGCUUAAAUGUGCUGUUUCUUACAUUAAAAAAUUACUAUAUUUCUGUUAGGACUCUAACAGCAACUAAAUAACAAAGAAUUUGGAUAUAUGCACAUGUGUAAAUUAAUAUACAUACGUGCAUACUGUAUUUUAGUAAAUUACUGGCAUGUGUUAUUGUGCAUUGUGACUCAUGAAUCAUGAAUCCAUUUCACAGAUUAUCAUUUCCCAUUAAAUUAGUGCUUUCCAUAUGGUAUCUCCAACGCAAAUCCUACAACCUACUUAUUGUGCUUAAAAAAAAAUCUAACAUCAAGAACACACUGUCCUAGGCUUUGAAAAAAUGUUUGAAAUCAAAUUAUUCUACUAUGUCUAAUACUGUUUAAAGAUUUAAGUGAUUUCUCCUUUUUUUGGCAUUUUAUUUUUAGACUAUAUCUGUUACAAGUUAGCAUGUUAUUUCUUUAUACUACUGGACUAGCAUAAACCAGAAGCAAUUGUCACAAACUGGAGAGGAUUCUUAUAGUACAGCACUAUAUUUACCCACAAAGAAACCACUUCAUCAAACCACAGUAUCCUUUUGUAAUGACUGUAUUAAUACAUGCCAAGAGUAUUGUAACCAUUGCACUUACACAAUCAAAACUUGUAUGGGAAACUCAUGAAAUCCUGUCCCUAGUUAACUACCUGAAUCUGCUACUUCUGCAGUGUUUUCAUAGAAAUUGAAUUGUAAGUGGCUCCCAAUCAUAUUUAUCAAAAAAAGUAGUACUAAAAAUGGUAAAAUGAAAUUUCUACAAAAGUGGUUUUAUUUCUGAAAAAUCUGUGAAAACCUUUUUAAAUAAAAAAGAUACUGAGUUAGUUUACCAUGCCAUUAGAGUUGGGGUUUUUCUACAUUCUACAGAUUUUGUGUGAGAAGAAACAAUCCAAGUUCUGACUGAAUAAGCUCAGUAUCUUCGCAGGUUUUGAACAUACUUUCCAAGACUUCUGAUUUAACAAAAUUCCAUUAAAGGGUGGAGUUGGAAUAUCCUUCUCAUUUUUAAUGAAGUAGGUUGAGAUCUUGCUAGUGUAGGACUGGUUCUGAAUAUUUUUUGAUCAGUAAGUUGGAGCAUAUAAGACUUUCAUUGUUCCAGGAAGCCCUUUGUAGCUCUACCACAUCUACACCGGGUCUCUAAAGUGUUUAUGGACUAAGCUGAAUAGAUUUUGUUCUUUAUGUGCUGUCAUUUCUCUGCCUGUUCCAUUUUUGUAAUUGGACAGAUAGCCAAAAUGACCUCUACUGGCCAUCCAGGGCAAGAGUUGUUUUAAAUUCAACCACUUCUCUGUGGUUCACAUGAUUCAUAUUUUAUUACUUCAUCUCCACUUCAGUCUUUGGUUCUGGCAUUUUUCCCAUGCAAGUGACAUUCACACUAUAUAAAUGAGCUUUAUUCAUGGAACUGUGAAACAGACGAAAAGUAUUCCAAAAUGUGAAAAUGAAAAAAAACCAAAACAAACAUCUAAAAACAAACAACUUCACCAUGACAUUUUCUUUGCUUCUUGGCUCUGGCUUGCUGGCAACGGAGCAUUGAAUAUGUAAAUCCAUAACUAAUGAAGAGUUAUAUCAGUCAAAGCUAAUAAUAGAGUAAGGAGUUACAUAAAUCAAUAUAGAUAAUAGAAUCUAUUUUUGAGGGGUAUGGUGAUCUGUUUGCAGGAUAUGUACACACACACACACACACACGUGUAAUAAAUUCUAUACUAUAAGGCAAUAAAUACAUU